GUGAUGAGAGAGUGGCGGUCUCGCGUGGCUCCGCCGUCGGACUCGUCGAUGGAGCGGUAGAUGGCGUCGAGGAGGGUGGAGGAGAAGGAGGGGUUCUGGUGACGGCUCCUGGGCUUUCCCCUCGCCCACCUCUCUUCCAUUACGUACGUAUACAAAGCAAGUACAGAACACCAACACUUAAGUUCUUCCCUCGGUCUUAUCUCUAUGUUCUCUUCUUCGCAGGCGAGGAAACGAUGAAGAGACAGGAAAAGGCGAAGUUGGGCGGUGAGAAGCAGAAGUGCGAAUGGCUCUCGAUGAGAAGCAAGAGAAAGCAAGACGAGAAAGGUGGGCGGUGAUGGGAUCACUCGCUCGGUAGCGCGUCUUUUUGAGGGGGAUUCACGCGCGAGUACUUGCUGACGUGUCACUUCUCUGAUUCCUUUUCUAGGCGCGGGGCCCGGUCGAGGUGGUCCGUGUGAUUCGUGACGGGCGACUCCGCCGCCUGAUUCGCUUGCUGUCCGUCACGCAACGCAGGUACGAACCAUACCCCCCACCUUAAAUUGGUAGUACACGAAGAGAUCAGUCUAAUUCUGCAAUGCAAUGCAUUAUGUAGAGUUGAUUUAGUAACAAAAACACAUUUUCGACAGAAGGAUAGAAUUAAUAAGAUUGUUUUGGUGUCAUCAAUUUUACAUUGAAUUAGUUAGGAUAUUUAUAUUUUCUAAGUUCAAUUGUCAAUUGGAAACUUCUUCUGACCUCUUAAUUACCUACGAAUAGGUCUUGAUUGAGUAUCAAUUUGUUUAAUGUAUAGUGUUAACACUGCUCCCAGUUGCUUACAACUGCUAAUUAAGCAAGUCUUAUGAUUUGGUGGGAAGCUUUUGCUUUGCUUGGGGGUGAUUAAAUUAAGGUGACACGUGUGGGCUAAAAGGUGUCUUGGCCUCGGGUUAGUGAAUUGAAGCAAGUAAUUAAUGCACUAAUCAUAUGCCCCCGUGGAGCCUAGUUGUCGGCUUUGAGAGUGUAGGAUGGUCCUUGAGAAUUUUGAAUGGUAGGAGGGGAAGCUUCUGAGGCUUGGGAGCGUGCUGUCUUCACCAGAUUUAAUGUCCGAGAGAACGUGUGAGGCUAGAGGAAAGCAAGAUGGAACAUUGAGCAACUGGGUAAAGAAAAGAGCAAAGUGGGCACUGUUUUCCUUCCCCUUUUUUUUGUCAUGACCGAUCACAAUCGACCAACAAGGUUUUUCAUAAUUUCUUAAUAACUUUGGCACAGUCUUGACCCCUCGAAGCAUACUAAAACAUACCAGGUUGUAAUUUCAAGGUUUAAGAUAGAACAUGAUGAUGAACACAAAAAUUGAAAGAAAACAAAAAGAACACUAAGCUAUUCAAAUUUUCUUACCGGAGAAUUUCUUGCAUACUAUAGACAACUAAUUAAAUGCAUAUCGUAGUUUCUUGGAUCAUUAAGCUAAACUUUACUCCUUGUGUCUCUUUUAAGUUUAAACAAAUUGCUGAAGAAGGAUGUAGCUAACGGUUGAGACUAUUUAGGAGUUUAAUGAAUAAUGAAUCUUUUUUCAACAAUUUAAGCUUUCGAGAUUCACUAUAAUGUAAUUUAAAACAUUUAUUAUGAUAUGAGAUGGAAUUUUAUAUCCGCUCUUCUAUAUUUCUGAGACAUUUCUUAACCAUUAGGUUUUUUAAAUUAAUGGUUACUUCAAUCAUAUUUGUAAGGACUAUGCUACUCAAAUAUUUGACUUUGUCAUCAAAUUUUUGGUGUAGCCAAGUGUAAAAGGAGUGUGCAGAGAGUCUUAAGUAGUACUGCUUUUACUUCAAUCAUAUUUGCAAGGACUAUGCUACUCAAAUAUUUGACUUUGUCAUCAAAUUUUUGGUGUAGUACUUCUUGCACAGUUGUACCUCGUGGGUUAGGCAUAUAACAAUUGCAGCUGAACUCCUCCACCCUUGUGUGUAAGCAGACAUGAGCAACUGGUUCCAGCUUUUUGGUCGGAUUAGAGUACAGUACUGCACAAGAGUUGAGUUUGUGUAUGAAUGCUGAUGGCGAAACACUAGUGAGUGUUUCGCUUGAUUGCUUAAUGAACUCUUCUUUCUUAGCAGUCCGUAGAAAGCGGAAUAGAACCUUUAUAGUCCCAUCAAAUACAUGGUCCCAAAAUAUAGAACUGGCUGUUUAACACAGCCUUGACACCAUAAUAUGUAAUGCACAGAGAGAGAGAGAGUGUGGAAAAGGACUGGUCUCUCAGUUUCCUCGUGCUUGCUGGCUUUUCUUCUCGUUAAACUAAAGCAGACGAUUGUGUGGGAACAGUAGGGAGAGAAAAAGAGGCAUGACAGAGGAGCAAGAGAGAGGGGGGGCAGGGAGACAAGAAGAAAAGAUAGGCGAUCCCGAAGAAUGAGGCAGAGGUGAAGGAUGAAGGAUGAAGGAUGAAGGAGACAGAUCCUCCCUUCUUUUCUUUCCUUCCGUUUUGCUUUUGUCCUCUGGCUCCACUGCUGCAUUUGCUUGGGACCCAACUCACCCAAGUUGAUCAUCAAUUCUACAUGUCGAAAUUAAUCUGACAUGACCUAUUUUCCCAUACUCUAUCGACUUUUACUUGAUUUCAUCUAAUCAGCUCUAGAUAUCGGACACCUGAUGCAAGAUAUGAGCUUAGAUGGUCGUGACUUGGAGUUAAUCUCUUCUGAAUAACUCGACUUGAAAUGAAGUUUUCUUGAACUACUCUCAACCCUGAUCGAAGUUAUACGAGUGGAUGAUGAGAGAGUCUAGUCUCUAGUUAACAGUCUUAGAAUGUUGACUAUUAGUGGAAUGAAUGCUUUCAAGUCAAAAAUAAUGUGAAGGAUUAUUUUAGUUUCAUCUUUACUGGUGAAUGAAUUCAUUUUGCAAUGGACCAGGAUCGACAUGUGGAAUCUCGAUUGACAAAGUAUGUUUAACAUAUCAAGAUCCGGACCCGAUUUGCCUCUAAAAUUCAUGCAAUAUGUAGGCGUUUCCUAUUUGAGUCGGAUCCCAAAGAGGUGUUGCAUCGAGAUCCGACUCGAUUUUAGCCAUAGCCCACUUCACGUCGCUAGUGAAUGCAAAGGCCGAAGAAAUGAUGAGGGCCCGAUGGGAAACAGAUCCGAGGCUGGAGGAACCAAAAAACCAGGUGGUGUGCCUUUUGAGAAAGAUGUGUGUGGGAUGGAUCAACAGCAACGAUCUUUAAAGCCUCCCCUGACACGGGCUGGCACGCGUGAAGGAGCCCGCCCCACGUGCAACUUUCUCUUUUGGACCAAGCUCUAACGAUGCCUGGUCCUAAUCUUAAAGCAAGCACUGUGCCCUCUCUCUGAGAGUUCGUAAUGGAUGGCCAUAAUGACUGGCUGGUCUUCUUUCUCAGAUUUCGGUGAAGCAUUGCUGUCGGCUUCUUGCAAGGGGUUGAAGGGUGCACCUGCGCCAGAUCCGAGGCGACAAGAAUCGACCUCGCCAUGGUCCCUCCCCUCAACUACUAUUCAUCCCAGGUUAGGUUCCUUCCUUGCUGUUUUUCCCGCUUUGGUUUUCCCUUUCUUUUUUUCAAAGUUCUUGC
rnacentral:lncRNA from 1 species